UACGAAGGGGGCUAGCGUUGUUCGGAAUUACUGGGCGUAAAGCGCGUGUAGGCGGUUUUCCAAGUUGGGUGUGAAAGCCUUGGGCUUAACCCAAGAAAUGCACUCAGUACUGGAAGACUAGAGGACCGGAGAGGAUAGUGGAAUUCCCAGUGUAGUGGUGAAAUACGUAGAGAUUGGGAAGAACACCAGUGGCGAAGGCGGCUAUCUGGACGGUUUCUGACGCUAAGACGCGAAAGCGUGGGGAGCAAACAGG
rnacentral:rRNA from 1 species